AGUGAACGCUGGCGGCAGGCCUAACACAUGCAAGUCGAGCGGCAGCGCGGUGGCAACCCUGGCGGCGAGCGGCGGACGGGUGAGGAAUUCGUCGGAAUCUGCCUUUUUGUGGGGGAUAACGUAGGGAAACUUACGCUAAUACCGCAUACGUCCUACGGGAGAAAGUGGGGGAGCGCAAGGCCGCACGCAGAAAGGUGAGCCGACGCCCGUUUAGACAGUUGGUGGGGUAAAGGCCGACCAAGGAGACGAUUGGUAGGUGGUGUGAGUGGAUGAUUGACCACAUGGGGAGGGGACCACGCACCAGGCUCCUACGGGAGGCAGCAGUGGGGAAUAUGGGACAGUGGGCGCAAGCCUGGUCCAGUGAUGCCGAGUGUGUGAAGAAGGCCUUCGGGUUGUAAAGCACUUUUGUCCGGAAAGAAAUCCCUGGAGCUAAUACCUUCGGGGGAUGACGGUAACGGAAGAAGAAGCACCGGCUAACUUCGUG
rnacentral:rRNA from 1 species